CCUACGGGUCGCAGCAGUGAGGAAUAUUGGUCAAUGGGCGGGAGCCUGAACCAGCCAAGCCGCGUGAGGGAAGAAGGUACAGCGGAUCGUAAACCUCUUUUGUCAGGGAACAAAGGCGGGGACUAGUGCCCCGAUGAGAGUACCUUAAGAAAAAGCAUCGGCUAACUCCGUGCCAGCAGCAGCGGUAAUACGGAGGAUGCGAGCGUUAUCCGGAUUUAUUGGGUGUAAAGGGUGCGCAGGCGGACUGUUAAGUCAGCGGUAAAAGCCCGGGGCUAAACCCCGGAGAGCCGUUGAUACUGGCUGGCGGGAGUUGGAAAGACGUACGCGGAAUGCGUGGUGUAGCGGGGAAAUGCUUAGAUAUCGCGCAGAACACCGAUUGCGAAGGCAGCGUACGGGUUCGAGACUGACGCUGAGGCACGAAAGCGUGGGUAUCGAACAGGAUUAGAUACCCCAGUAGUC
rnacentral:rRNA from 1 species